GCUUACCGCCAUACCAACCUGGCUGAUGCCCGAUCUCGUCUGAUCUCGGAAGCUAAGCAGGUUUGGGCCUGGUUAGUACUUGGAUGGGAGACCGCCUGGGAAUACCAGGUACUUGUAAGCU
ensembl:rRNA 5S_rRNA 5S ribosomal RNA